AGCUCCAAUAGUGUAUAUUAAAGUUGUUGCAGUUAAAAAGCUCGUAGUUAGAUUUCUGGCGGGAGCGAUCGGUCCUUCACUCAGUGUUGGAACCUGAUUGUCUCCUGCCAUCCAUGGAGAAAACUUAUCUGGCAUUAAGUUGUCGGGUAGGCAAUCUCCAUCUUUUACUGUGAAAAAAUUAGAGUGUUCAAAGCAGGCUUAUGCCGUUGAAUAUAUUAGCAUGGAAUAAUAAGAUAGGACUAUGGUACUAUUUUGUUGGUUUGUGCACCAUGGUAAUGAUUAAUAGGGACAGUUGGGGGUAUUCGUAUUCCAUUGUCAGAGGUGAAAUUCUUGGAUUUAUGGAAGACGAACUACUGCGAAAGCAUUUACCAAGGAUGUUUUCAUUAAUCAAGAACGAAAG
rnacentral:rRNA from 1 species